GACGAACGCUGGCGGCGUGCUUAACACAUGCAAGUCGAACGAAGUGGCGAACGGGUGAGUAACGCGUAAUCAACCUGCCCUUCAGAGGGGGACAACAGUUGGAAACGACUGCUAAUACCGCAUACUGAAGGAGGGGAUUGCGUCUGAUUAGCUAGUUGGCGGGGUAACGGCCCACCAAGGCGAUGAUCAGUAGCCGGUCGGGAAGGAUGGACGGCCAAAAUGGGACUGAGACACGGCCCAGACUCCGAAGGGAGGCAGCAGUGGGGAAUCUUCGGAAAUUGACGAAAGUCUGACGGAGCAACGCCGCGUGAGUGAUGACGGCCUUCGGGUUGUAAAGCUCUGUUAAGCGGGACGCGGUACCGGAAGAGAAAGCCACGGCUAACUACGUGCCAGCAGCCGCGGUAAUUC
rnacentral:rRNA from 1 species